CAACUUUCCUGAAGCUAGCGGCUGGAAGCUCCGGUUCUCCUCUGCCGGAUCAGAAGCAACCCUAGUCCCUGUCGAAAGCCACGACCAGUGGACUGAGAACCACAAUUCUUCUCCGUUUGCAAAGGCCAGACCGCUUGCCGGAUGAUUUUUGUCCGUCUCCGGAGCAACAGCUUAUGAGAGGAUCAAAGACUAUUCAAGCUAAGAGGUUCGGUUUUUGGGCAUCGGUGGUAUUGCAAAUUUGAUGGAAAGAAAGAAAGCUGCAGUAAUCAUGAAGAAGCUUCUCUGCUCUAAUAAUCCUUCCUUGUACAACAUGACUGCCACUCUCCCUGUAUCAUCCUUCUUUCAACUAUUACUUCCUCUUCAAAUUACCACCUCUGCCACUCAGGCUUCUUUCACGGACUCUGAGAGUUCAGAAGAAGGAGAAGAUGGCGACCUCAUGUCUUGUGUUAUCGAGGACAAAGACCUACUCCGUCAAAGCAAAAAUUUGGGAACUGGACUCCAUGUUCUCAACCUCAUCGACCAAGGUUCUAUGGAACCAGACCAUAUGUUGUACAAUAAACUGUUUAAGAAAUGCACCCUACUGGGGAAGCUGAAAGAAGGAAGAAUCGUCCAUACCCACUUUCUUAAUUCCAAGUUCAAAGCUGACCUUUUUAUCCAAAAUACCAUCCUUAAUAUGUAUGCUAAAUGUGGUAGUUUAGAUGAAGCCCGGAAAACAUUCGACGACAUGACUAUUAAAGAUAUGGUCACAUGGACGGCUUUGAUUACUGGGUAUGCUCAGAAUGAUAGAGCCCAAGAGGCUCUUAAGUUGUUCCCUCAGAUGCUUGGGCUUGGAUUGAAACCAAAUCAAUUCACCUUCUCCAGCCUCUUAAAGGCUUGUGGGGCGGCACCAAAUGAUUAUAGUGGCAAGCAGAUCCAUUCAUUUUGCAUCAAGUAUGGCUAUGAAUUAAAUGUUUAUGUGGCAAGCUCUCUUUUGGACAUGUAUGCGAGGUGUGGAAUGAUGGGGAAUGCUUUAGUGGUUUUUGAUGGGAUGGUAAGCAAGAAUGAGGUCUCUUGGAAUGCUUUGAUUGCUUGCCAUGCUAGGAAGGGUCAAGGAGAAGAUGCUAUUAAUUUGUUUUGGAAGAUGCAGAGGGAAGAUUUUCGACCUACCCAUUUCACCUAUUCCAGCCUCUUUAGUGCUUGCUCCAGCAUUGGAGCUCUCGAGCCAGGCAAAUGGGUGCAUGCGCAUAUGAUUAAAUCAGGUGGUAAGCUUAUUGCAUUUGUUGGUAAUACUCUUCUUGACAUGUAUGCAAAAGCUGGUAGUAUUGAGGAUGCGAGGAAGGUCUUUGGUAGGUUGGAAAGCAGAGAUGUUGUUUCCUGGAAUUCUAUGCUUACUGGGUGUGCUCAACAUGGCCUUGGGAGGGAAACUGUGAGCCGGUUUGAGGAAAUGCUGAGGAUUGGUGUUAAACCCAAUGAGAUAACCUUUUUGUGUGUUCUUACUGGUUGCAGCCAUGGUGGACUGUUGAACGAAGGACUUUACUAUUUUAAAUUGAUGAAAAAGUACAUGGUAGAACCAGAGGUUGAACAUUAUGUGACAAUUGUUGAUCUUCUUGGUCGAGCAGGGCUUCUUGAUCAAGCUGAAAAGUUCAUAAGAGAUAUGCCAAUUGAACCCACAGCAGCUGUCUGGGGAGCUUUGCUUGGUGCUUGUCGGAUGCAUCGGAAUAUGGAAUUGGGUGCUUUGGCUGCUGAACGUGUUUUUGAGCUUGAUCCCCAUGAUUCAGGCCCUCAUGUGUUGCUGUCUAACAUCUAUGCCUCUGCUGGUAGAUGGAGUGAUGCAGCAAAAGUGAGGAAGAUGAUGAAAGACAGUGGGGUGAAGAAAGAACCUGCUUGUAGUUGGGUGGAGAUCGAGAAUGGAGUUCACAUGUUUGUUGCUAAUGAUGAUGCUCAUCCCCAGAGAGAGGAGAUACGUAAGAUGUGGGAGAAGAUUAGCACUAAGAUCAGGGAAGUUGGGUAUGUUCCAGAUGCAAGUCAUGUGCUAUUGUUUGUGGACCAGCAGGAGAGGGAAGCAAAGUUGCAGUACCACAGUGAGAAGCUUGCUUUGGCCUUUGCACUUAUAUAUACACCUCCUGGCUCAACUAUUAGGAUUAAAAAGAAUAUCAGGAUGUGUGGUGAUUGUCACUCAGCAAUCAAGUUUGUGUCCAAGGUGACGGAGAGGGAGAUCAUUGUGAGGGACACCAACAGGUUUCAUCAUUUCAGCAAUGGUUCUUGUUCAUGUGGGGAUUACUGGUAAUUCUUUUAAGAGGAAAGAUCAGAGGAGAGCAAUGGCUUAGAAGACGGAUGAUAGUCCAUUUCUCAUCUCUCUUAAUUUUUGGGUUCUCGUGACAUUGAUCCAGUUUUGCCUGCAGUUGCAUAUUUCUCAGUUUUUCCCAAGCACUGGACUAUAAGUCUACAACCAAUAUAUGACGAGAAAAAAUACAAUUUAUCAUGGGGGUCUCUAUCUGAAACUGAUCUAUGACGAGAAAAAAGUACAACUGAUCAUGGGGUCCCUGUCUGAAAAGGAAACAGCUCUUUCCCCCUGGACUAGAUGAGGCUAUUAGAAGAAAGUAAUUCACGACGGCAGCAGUAGAUCUGGGAAUCUACAACAAUGUGAUGUUACUGUCUUAUGUCAACCAUACGUAUGCCAGACUUUGGGGGUUUGGUGGGGUGGGAAUACCUGACAAUAUUCCCAAGAAUUUCCAAAAUAAUGUUACAAAUUUACGCUGACUAUGGACAAUUAUGCUCAGGUCCCGCUCCCCCUUCAAAAAUAAAAUAAAGCAAGCCAAUUCAGUGUUGACUGUUGAUAUGAUGCAGAGAAGACAAUUGAUCUUGUGGGAGCUUGGGAGAUCCAGUGGCACCUGUUCCUGUAAAAAUGUUUCAUACUUAUCUUUGGUAUUUGGAAUCCAUAACCAUACAGUUCGAAGAUCAAGACUCAACUACCCCUCCAUGGCUUCAUCUCAAGUCUUACCCUAAUCAAGGGCCCACACUACAAGUCUACAACUACAGCUAAGAAUUGGGGAGGGGAAGGUCUCGAAUCAGAGACAUGCCAGGUGGAAGCAGCUUCAACAAGCUGCACCUUGCACGGGUGAUGAUAAGAUUUGUGUUUGUUGCAGCCAGGGAGUUAACUAUUGUUUGGACCGGACACUCUUGUGUUCAAUGUCGGUGUUGACUUGGCACUUGCAGAAGUCCUUUCAAGAUUGAAAGGCAUUUUAUGUAUAAGUGAAAAUGAAGUUGACUGACUAACCCUCUAAAUGUGAAUUUUUUUUCAUAGGAAUUACAUUCCAUGUAGAUUCUAUAUUUUGUAUAGCUCCCAAUAAGGUGCUUAGGAUGGAGUCCUUUAUUAUGCCUUAUUUCAACUUGGAAAAUCUACAUGUAGCAUAUUUGAAGGUA